UGUAGACUGGGUAUUUUGUGCUUUAUGUCUGAUAUCCACUUAUGAAUGAGUACAUUGUAGGGGAAGCUGUAGCCACGCCUACUUAGGGACUGGCUUCAGGUGUGCCUGACCAUGCUUUCGAGGGCGUGGUCAGGGUGACAUAGAGUGAUACUGGGAUGGGACUGCAUGCUCUCUUUCAGUUUCACUUUUGGGCUUGUGUACAGACUGCUGCCACACUGGCUGGCUAGGUCACUCUGGGAAAAUGAUGAAACUAAUAAAAUUCCAGAACCUGCUCAAUGUGAGCAGCUGAAUUUGAAAGAUGGCCCCCAUGACCACCCUGCUUUUAAAUGAAUAAAUGGUAAGGUCACCUGCAGAGUGCAACUAUUAGUCUUGUUAGAAUUACAGUUUAAGGGAAGUAUAGAAGAUGGCAAUCUGCCUUCCAGAAGUAAUAGGUUUUGAUAGGACAAGAUCACAGGGAGACCCUUUGGACCAAAUGAUAGCUAAAUGGCAUGUCUCUGUUAAGGAGACAAUCUGC
rnacentral:lncRNA from 1 species